UUACGGCCAUAUCACGUUGAAGCACCGGUUCCCGUACGAUCUACGAAGUUAAGCAACGUCGAGCCUCGUCAGUACUUAAAUAGGUGACCACUUGGGAAUACUAAG